UACGGGAGGCAGCAGUGGGGAAUAUUGCACAAUGGGCGAAAGCCUGAUGCAGCUAUGCCGCGUGUAUGAAGAAGGCCUUAGGGUUGUAAAGUACUUUCAUCGGGGAGGAAAAAACAAAACUAAUAAUUUUAUUUCUUGACGUUACCCGAAAAAGAAGCACCGGCUAACUCCGUGCCAGCAGCCGCGGUAAUACGGAGGGUGCUAGCGUUAAUCAGAAUUACUGGGCGUAAAGAGCACGUAGGUGGUUUUUUAAAGUCAGAUGUGAAAUCCCUGGGCUUUAACCUAGGAACUGCAUUUUGAAACUGAAAUACUAGAGUAUCGUAGAGGGAGGUAGAAUUCUAGGUGUAGCGGUGAAAUGCGUAGAUAUCUGGAGGAAUACCUGUGGCGAAAGCGGCCUCCUAAACGAAUACUGACACUGAGGUGCGAAAGCGUGGGGAGCAAACAGGGAUUAGAUACC
rnacentral:rRNA from 1 species